rnacentral:rRNA from 1 species
UGGCGGACGGGUGAGUAUGCUUGGGAAUCUGGCUUAUGGAGGGGAUAACGACGGGAAACUGUCGCUAAUACCGCGUAGAAUCGAGAGAUGAAAGUGCGGGACCGCAAGGCCGCAUGCCAUAGGAUGAGCCCAAGUGGGAUUAGGUAGUUGGUGGGGUAAAGGCCUACCAAGCCGACGAUCUCUAGCUGGUCUGAAAGGAUGACCAGCCACACCGGGACUGAGACACGGCCCGG